rnacentral:lncRNA from 1 species
CUUACUACUGGGUCUACAUAUCUGAUUCUUUCCAGUUCAAAAGAUUGCCCUUCCAAAUAACUAGUUUCAAAAUUAUCCAAGGUAUCAAAUUGACUUAGACUAUUAAAAUGUUCCUUUACAUGGUGACGGAGAGAUGCAGUUCUAGGUAGGACAUGAGCAGUAGACUUAGAUUCCCCUGAAUCAAAGUCAGAUCCCACUGUGUCUUGAGGAGUAGAAAGUAUUUGCUAGUAAAUCCUUUGCAAAUAAAUCCCUGGGGUUGUCAUCAUUUUUGGAGUCCGUCCCUGAGAGACAUACUUCCUGGUUCUGAGCAGUAUCUUCUGUUUGUUGUGAAAUUUUUCUUUCAGUGCGUAUAGCUGACAUGCAAGGUUGUAACAUUCCUUUCUUAGCUGUAGGAUGAUAUCUUGGGCUUCUCUCACUUUGGAUUUUUCAUUUUCCAAAGCUAAAACUAACAUUCUGUUGUUGUCUUGGUAAUUUUUCAGCAGUGUUCAAGUGUUGGUAAUCACUUGGCACUGUGCAGGUAUAAAGGACCUGCGUUUGCCAAUCUCUGCCAAGCUUUUAUUCCUUUUCUCUUUCAUUCACUUCUUUAUGUCUUCAAGAUUAUCUUGAAAGGUCUUUUUCUGGCACCUUUCCUUGGCCAUCUUCUGCUUCCUGUCCAGGCCAAGGGUGUCAACAGUGGAUGUGCCAGGAAAAUGAAAAUACAGACAGAAGCCCUAUGUUGUUUUAGAAACCUAUUUUAAGAAGAUCGGAUCAAUUUGAAUAGCUG